UAGAAGUGAGGUCUUUUCCCGUUAAAUCC
rnacentral:piRNA from 1 species